AUGGCGGGGACGGCGGCGCAGAGCGUGCAGGCGCUGGCGUCCUCGCUGGGCGCGCUCCCGCCCGAGUUCGUGCGGCCCGAGCACGAGCAGCCGCGCGCCACCACGUUCCGCGGGGCCGCGCCGCCGGAAAUCCCCGUCAUCGACAUGUCCUCGCCGGGCGCCUGGCGCCGCAUGGCGGAGGCCGCGGCGGAGUGGGGCAUCUUCCAGGUGGUGUGCCACGGGGUGCCGGCUGAGGCCGUGGCGGAGCUGCAGCGCGUGGGCCGCGGGUUCUUCGCGCUGCCGCAGGAGGAGAAGCAGCGGUACGCCAUGGACCCGGCCGAGGGGAAGACCGAGGGCUACGGCUCCACGCUGCGGAAGGGCGACCUCGAGGGCAAGAAGGCCUGGGCCGACUUCCUCUUCCACAACGUCGCGCCGCCGGCCGCCGUGAACCACGCCGUCUGGCCGGAGAGCCCCGAGGGGUACAGGGAGGCCAACGAGGCCUACUGCGGCCACAUGCUGCGGCUCACGCGGGAGCUGUUCGGGCGCCUCUCGGCGGAGCUGGGCCUGCAGGAGGGCGCCAUGGCGGAGGCGUUCGGCGGCGACGACGUGGUGCUCCUCCAGAAGAUCAACUUCUACCCGCCGUGCCCACAGCCGGAGCUCGCGCUCGGCCUCGCGCCGCACACCGACAUGAGCACGCUCACCGUCCUCCUGCCCGACGAGGUGCAGGGCCUCCAGGUGUUCAAGGACGGAUGCUGGUACGACGUCAACUACGUGCCCGGCGCCCUCAUCAUCCACAUCGGCGACCAGAUCGAGAUCAUGAGCAACGGGAGGUACAAGGCCGUGCUGCACCGGACGACGGUGAGCCGGGAGAAGACGCGGAUGUCGUGGCCGGUGUUCGUGGAGCCGCCGCCGGAGCACGCCGUCGGGCCGCACCCGCAGCUCGUCACCGACGAGUUCGCGGCCAAGUACAAGGCCAAGAAGUUCAAGGACUACAAGUACUGCAAGAUCAACAAGCUACCACAGUAG
rnacentral:rRNA from 1 species